rnacentral:rRNA from 1 species
GAUGAACGCUGGCGGCGUGCUUAACACAUGCAAGUCGAACGGUGAAGGCGGAGCUUGCUCUGCUGGAUCAGUGGCGAACGGGUGAGUAACACGUGAGCAAUCUGCCCCUGACUCUGGGAUAAGCGCUGGAAACGGCGUCUAAUACUGGAUACGAGCUGCGAAGGCAUCUUCAGCAGCUGGAAAGAAUUUCGGUCAGGGAUGAGCUCGCGGCCUAUCAGCUUGUUGGUGAGGUAAUGGCUCACCAAGGCGUCGACGGGUAGCCGGCCUGAGAGGGUGACCGGCCACUGUGGGGCGGAGCGAGGGCCGAGACUCCGAGGGGGGGAAGCGGGGGGGAAUAUGGCACAGGGGGGGAGGGCGGGAUGCAGAAGCGCGGGGGGGGGGAGGACGGCUUGGGUUUUAUAACCCUUUUUGAGCGGGAAAGAAGCAAAAGUGAGGGUCCCUAAAAAAAAGGCGCGGGCAAACUACGUG